CAGAAACCUUACAAGCCAGAAGGGAUUCAAGCCAGAAGGGAUUGUGGUCCCAUCUUCCACCUCCUUAAACAAAAUAAUUGUCAGCCAGGAAUUUGGUAUCCAGCAAAAUUAAGCUUCAUGAAUGAAGGAGAGAUAAAGUCUUUUUCAGACAUACAAAUGCUGAGAGAAUUUGCCACUACCACACCAGCACUACAAGAAAUUCUAAAGUUCUAAAUCUUGAAACAAAACCUCAAUAUUCACCAAAAU
rnacentral:lncRNA from 10 species